rnacentral:rRNA from 1 species
UAUAAUGCGCAAUGGAGGGAACUCUGACGCAUCUACGCCUCGUGAGCGAUGAACGUCUUCUGAACGUAAAGAUCUGUCCGCGGGUAAGAAGUUUUUCGCACAUGACGUUACCAUCGGAGAAUGCCCCGCUUAACUACAUGCCAGCAGCCGUGGUAAUACGCAGGGCGCAAACGUUGUCCGGAAUUAUUGGGUGUAAAGGGUACGUAAGCGGCCUUUUAAGUCAGAUGUGAAAGCCCACGGCUUAACCGAGGGACUGCAUUUGAAACUGGAGGGCUUGAGUAUCGGAGAAGGUAGUGGAAUUCCCAGUGUAACGGUGGAAUGCGUAGAUAUUGGGAGGAACACCAGUGGCGAAGGCGACUACCUGGACGAAAACUGACGCUGAGGCACGAAAGCUAGGGGAGCAAACA